GACUGAACGACCCAAUUAUCAAGAGUGGAGCUGAGGAGACAGAAUCAAGCCAGUCCUGAUCAGUUUCUUCAGUGGCAGUUUACAUUAAGGAAGAUAGCAUGCUCUCUUCUUCUAACAGAAAUCAACGAAGGCAUCAGACUCUGAAUUUGCGACUAGGACAAUGGAAGUUCAACCCAAAAGCAACUGUAUCUGCUCCUGAAGCCUCAUUAAUAAAGAAGCCAGGAAUCAUGACAAAUAUACACUCAGGACCUGUAUCAACUGACAGUAAAUUAGAAUGAGCAUCGAUGAGCACCACCUCCAGUUGAAUGACAGAAUCCCCAUGUAUCAUUUUGGAAUAAAAUGUCUAAAUAUC